UAUGCUCAUAUCAUGUUGAAACACCAGUUCCCAUAUGAUCACUGAAGUUAAGCAAUGUUGCACAUAGUCAGUAUCUAGAUGGAUGGCUGUGUGGGGAUAGCAGGUGCUAUA